GACGAACGCUGGCGGCGUGCCUAAUACAUGCAAGUCGAGCGAACAGAUGAGGAGCUUGCUCCUCUGACGUUAGCGGCGGACGGGUGAGUAACACGUGGAUAACCUACCUAUAAGACUGGGAUAACUUCGGGAAACCGGAGCUAAUACCGGAUAAUAUAUUGAACCGCAUGGUUCAAUAGUGAAAGACGGUUUUGCUGUCACUUAUAGAUGGAUCCGCGCCGCAUUAGCUAGUUGGUAAGGUAACGGCUUACCAAGGCAACGAUGCGUAGCCGACCUGAGAGGGUGAUCGGCCACACUGGAACUGAGACACGGUCCAGACUCCUACGGGAGGCAGCAGUAGGGAAUCUUCCGCAAUGGGCGAAAGCUUGACGGAGCAACGCCGCGUGAGUGAUGAAGGUCUUCGGAUCGUAAAACUCUGUUAUUAGGGAAGAACAAAUGUGUAAGUAACUAUGCACGUCUUGACGGUACCUAAUCAGAAAGCCACGGCUAACUACGUG
rnacentral:rRNA from 1 species